rnacentral:rRNA from 1 species
AUUGAACGCUGGCGGCAGGCCUAACACAUGCAAGUCGAACGGUAACAGGAAGAAGCUUGCUUCUUUGCUGACGAGUGGCGGACGGGUGAGUAAUGUCUGGGAAACUGCCUGAUGGAGGGGGAUAACUACUGGAAACGGUAGCUAAUACCGCAUAACGUCUCAAGACCAAAGAGGGGGACCUUCGGGCCUCUUGCCAUCGGAUGUGCCCAGAUGGGAGUAGCUAGUAGGUGGGGUAACGGCUCACCUAGGCGACGAUCCCUAGCUGGUCUGAGAGGAUGACCAGCGACACUGGAACUGAGACACGGUCCAGACGCCUACGGGAGGCAGCAGUGGGGAAUAUUGCACAAUGGGCGCAAGCAUGAUGCAGCCAUGCCGAGUGUAUGAAGAAGGCCUUCGGGUUGUAAAGUACGUUCAGCGGGGAGGAAGGGAGUAAAGUUAAGACCUUUGCUCAUUGACGUUACCCGCAGAAGAAGCACCGGCUAACUCCGUG